rnacentral:rRNA from 1 species
UGGGGAAUAUUGCACAAUGGGGGAAACCCUGAUGCAGCGACGCCGCGUGAACGAAGAAGGUAUUCGUAUCGUAAAGUUCUGUCCUAUGGGAAGAUAAUGACAGUACCAUAGAAGAAAGCUCCGGCUAAAUACGUGCCAGCAGCCGCGGUAAUACGUAUGGAGCGAGCGUUGUCCGGAAUUAUUGGGCGUAAAGGGUACGCAGGCGGUUUAAUAAGUCGAAUGUUAAAGAUCGGGGCUCAACCCCGCAAAGCAUUGGAAACUGAUAAACUUGAGUAGUGGAGAGGAAAGUGGAAUUCCUAGUGUAGUGGUGAAGUACGUAGAUAUUAGGAGGAGUACCAGGAGCGACGGCGACUUUCUGGACACAAACUGACGCUGAGGUACGAAAGCGUGGGGAGCAAACAGG